AGUCUUAUAUUUAACAAUAAUAUUAAAUUGCAAAUUUAAAGGUGAUUAAAAAUCUAAGGCUU
rnacentral:tRNA from 2 species